rnacentral:rRNA from 1 species
CUACGGGACGCAGCAGUGGGGAAUUUUGGACAAUGGGCGCAAGCCUGAUCCAGCAAUGCCGCGUGCAGGAAGAAGGCCUUCGGGUUGUAAACUGCUUUUGUACGGAGCGAAAAGGCUCUCUCUAAUACAGGGGGUUCAUGACGGUACCGUAAGAAUAAGCACCGGCUAACUACGUGCCAGCAGCCGCGGUAAUACGUAGGGUGCGAGCGUUAAUCGGAAUUACUGGGCGUAAAGCGUGCGCAGGCGGUUUUGUAAGACAGGCGUGAAAUCCCCGGGCUCAACCUGGGAAUUGCGCUUGUGAAUGGAAGGCUGGAGUGCGGCAGAAGGGGAUGGAAUUCCGCGUGUAGCAGUGAAAUGCGUAGAUAUGCGGAGGAACACCGAUGGCGAAGGCAAUCCCCUGGGCCUGCACUGACGCUCAUGCACGAAAGCGUGGGGAGCAAACAGGAUUAGAUACCCUCGUAGUC